AACGAACGCUGGCGGCGUGCUUAACACAUGCAAGUCGAACGCGAACGAGUUCUUCGGAACUUUAGUAGAGUGGCGCACGGGUGAGUAACGCGUAAGUAAUCUGUCCUGAUAUCUGGAAUAACACUCCGAAAGGUGUGCUAAUACCGGAUACGCUGAGAAAUCAGGAAAGGUGGCCUCUUCAUGAAAGCUACUGUAUCAGGAGGAGCUUGCGUACCAUUAGCUAGUUGGUGGGGUAAUGGCCUACCAAGGCAACGAUGGUUAGCGGGUCUGAGAGGAUGAUCCGCCACACUGGAACUGGAACACGGACCAGACUCCUACGGGAGGCAGCAGUGAGGAAUAUUGCGCAAUGGGGGCAACCCUGACGCAGCGACGCCGCGUGGAUGAUGAAGGCCUUCGGGUCGUAAAAUCCUGUCAGAUGGAA
rnacentral:rRNA from 1 species